ACUCAAAUGAAUUGACGGGGGCCCGCACAAGCGGCGGAGCAUGCGGAUUAAUUCGAUGCAACGCGAAGAACCUUACCUGGGUUUGACAUCGCCGGUAAUCCCUCAGAGAUGGGGGGUCCUUCGGGGCCGGUGACAGGUGGUGCAUGGCUGUCGUCAGCUCGUGUCGUGAGAUGUUGGGUUAAGUCCCGCAACGAGCGCAACCCUUGUCCGAUGUUGCCAGCGGGUUAUGCCGGGGACUCAUCGGAGACUGCCGGGGUCAACUCGGAGGAAGGUGGGGAUGACGUCAAGUCAUCAUGCCCCUUAUGUCCAGGGCUUCACGCAUGCUACAAUGGCCGGUACAAAGGGCUGCGAUACCGUGAGGUGGAGCGAAUCCCAAAAAGCCGGUCUCAGUUCGGAUCGGGGUCUGCAACUCGACCCCGUGAAGUCGGAGUCGCUAGUAAUCGCAGAUCAGCAACGCUGCGGUGAAUACGUUCCCGGGCCUUGUACACACCGCCCGU
rnacentral:rRNA from 1 species